UCGCAGAAAUUAAUCAAGUCCAUGUAAUGGAUAUAGACAAAAAGAUAAUUCAAGGACUAUCAGAGGUAGAGAGGUGAGGCAGGGGUGAGGACAUCAUCCUUGCUAUUUUGACAGUCCCUGAAGGACAAUACAGAAGAGGACUCGAGACCACAGCAGCGAUCCUGCUCUUGCCCUACUUCUUCAAAGAGGACAAAGUGGCCUUUGCACAAAUGAUCUGUUUCUUCAUAAACAUAGGUUUCACCGCUCUUCACUCCUUUACUGCACAUUGGCGGAAAUCCAUUUCACCAUGAGAGUGAAAUCCCGCUGGCCUUUGAUGGGGAGAACAUCCACGCCCUAGAGGACGUCCCCAUGGGACUUGGGGCUCUGUUAGGGCUGUAUUUUUCCCUUAAAAUUCUCAAAAAUGU